rnacentral:ncRNA from 1 species
AAAAGACUUAGUCCUAACCUUACCGUUAGUUCUUGCCAAACAUAUACAUGCAAGUAUCCGCGCCCCAGUGUAAAUGCCCUUCGCCCCUUAACAAGGCAAAAGGAGCUGGUAUCAGGCUCACCUGCUAACCGUAGCCCAAGACACCUUGCUCAGCCACACCCCCACGGGUAUUCAGCAGUAAUUAACAUUAAGCAAUGAGUGCAAACUCGACUUAGUUAUGGCAUGUCUAGGGUUGGUAAAUCUUGUGCCAGCCACCGCGGUCACACAAGAGACCCAAAUUAACGGCAGCACGGCGUAAAGAGUGGCACUAGGAUAUCCCCGCAAUUAAGAUCAAAAUGCAACUGAGCUGUCAUAAGCCCAAGGUGCAUGUAAAACCACCUCGGAGUGAUCCCAAUCCGUCGCGAUUUACUAAACCCCACGAAAGCCGGGGUACAAACUGGGAUUAGAUACCCCACUAUGCCUGGCCCUAAAUCUUGAUACUUACCCUACCAAAGUAUCCGCCCGAGAACUACGAGCACAAACGCUUAAAACUCUAAGGACUUGGCGGUGUCUCACCCACCUAGAGGAGCCUGUUCUAUAAUCGAUAACCCACGAUGCACCUAACCGUUCCUUGCUAAAACAGCCUACAUACCGCCGUCGUCAGUCCACCUUCCCUGACAGCGCAGCAGUGGACACAAUAGCCUAUAGCCCCGCUAAUAAGACAGGUCAAGGUAUAGCUCAUGGAACGGGAGAAAUGGGCUACAUUUUCUAUACUAGAAAAUCCACGAAGGGGGUAUGAAACCUACCCCCAGAAGGCGGAUUUAGCAGUAAAGCGGGAUAAUAAAGCCCUCUUUAAAACGGCUCUGAGGCACGUACAUACCGCCCGUCACCCUCCUCAUACGCUAAGCUUCGCAAUAAUUAAUACACCCACCAGCUAAAGAUGAGGUAAGUCGUAACAAGGUAAGCGUACCGGAAGGUGUGCUUAGCAUAC